rnacentral:misc_RNA from 1 species
AUUAUCAAUGCUAAAGGCAUAAAUGGUUACAUACCUCACUCCCAACUCAUAGCAAUAAGUUAGUGUUCUCAGAAGAGCUAAAUAUCCUGCCUUGUAACCUUCUGCUUCGUUCAUUUUAUGCUUCUUAGCAAACCUCCGGUUUCCAUCCAAUAUGAAGGCAAGAUGAGUAGGAAUGGGACCUUGGGUUAGGAUGCGAUAUAACCCUUUUCUCAUAAAUUUCCCAAAAAGUUUAAACACACUUGGCCUCUGACCCGUAUAUAUUUCCAUUUUCCUUAAACCCAAAUCCGGAUGCUAAACUUCACCCGAAGCCUGCAUGUGACUCGGCAAAUCCUCCAAGAUCAAAUCUGGAUUGUCACUUAAGCACUCGAUCAAAUGAGCAAUCUUAAUGGAACACA